rnacentral:rRNA from 1 species
AUAUCAAUAAGCGGAGGAAAAGAAACCAACAGGGAUUGCCCCAGUAACGGCGAGUGAAGCGGCAGCAGCCCAGAUUUGAAAUCCGUUCCCCCUCUCCGGGGAGACCGAGUUGUAAUCUGCAGAGGAUGCUUUUGGCGCGGCGCCUUCCGAGUUCCCUGGAACGGGACGCCACAGAGGGUGAGAGCCCCGUCCGGUCGGACGCCACAACCUCGGUAAAGCUCCUUCGGCGAGUCGAGUAGUUUGGGAAUGCUGCUCAAAGCGGGAGGUAUAUGUCUUCUAAGGCUAAAUACCGGCCAGAGACCGAUAGCGCACAAGUAGAGUGAUCGAAAGAUGAAAAGCACUUUGAAAAGAGAGUUAAACAGUACGUGAAAUUGUUGAAAGGGAAGCGCUCGUGGCCAGACCCGGGCCCGGCGGAUCAUCCGGCGCUCGCGUCGCCGGUGCGCUCUGCCGCGGCCCAGGCCAGCAUCGGCCCGCGGCGGGGGAUAAAGGCGGCGGGAAUGUGGCUCCCCUCCGGGGGGAGUGUUUAUAGCCCGCCGUGCAAUGCCCCGCGGGCGGGCCGAGGUACGCGCACCCGCAAGGAUGCUGGCGUAAUGGCCACCAGCGACCCGUCUUGAAACACGGACCAAGGAGUCGUCCUCGUAUGCGAGUGUUCGGGCGCCAAAACCCCCGACGCGUAAUGAAAGUGAACGCUGGUGAGAACCCCUCUCACGGGGCGCAUCACCGACCGAUCCUGAUGCUCUCGGAUGGAUUUGAGUAGGAGCAUACGGGGCCGGACCCGAAAGAAGGUGAACUAUGCCCGUGUAGGGUGAAGCCAGAGGAAACUCUGGUGGAGGCUCGCAGCGGUUCUGACGUGCAAAUCGAUCGUCAAACAUGGGCAUGGGGGCGAAAGACUAAUCGAACCUUCUAG